rnacentral:rRNA from 1 species
CCUAGGGGAGGCAGCAGUGGGGAAUAUUGGACAAUGGGCGAAAGCCUGAUCCAGCCAUGCCGCGUGUGUGAAGAAGGCCUUCGGGUUGUAAAGCACUUUCAGUGGGGAAGAAAGCCUUGGGGCUAAUACCCUCGAGGAAGGACAUCACCCACAGAAGAAGCACCGGCUAACUCCGUGCCAGCAGCCGCGGUAAUACGGAGGGUGCGAGCGUUAAUCGGAAUUACUGGGCGUAAAGCGCGCGUAGGCGGUCUGAUAAGCCGGUUGUGAAAGCCCCGGGCUCAACCUGGGAACGGCAUCCGGAACUGUCAGGCUAGAGUGCAGGAGAGGAAGGUAGAAUUCCCGGUGUAGCGGUGAAAUGCGUAGAGAUCGGGAGGAAUACCAGUGGCGAAGGCGGCCUUCUGGACUGACACUGACGCUGAGGUGCGAAAGCGUGGGUAGCAAACAGGAUUAGAUACCCGAGUCGUC